rnacentral:lncRNA from 1 species
CGGUCUCUGAACAAAUAAUUCUGCUCUUCCCUGUUUUCAGCGUUUCUGUUGUUCCCUCCCUCAUUCUACAGAGGGGAGCACCAGGGACAGGGAAGAAGGAAGUCCUACAGCCGGGCUAGUUUCGUUGCUUUAAGCAACAGUGAUGUUUUUUUCUGCUUUUCUGAAGGGUGUUUGUCCUGCUUCUAGCUGUUCAAAGUCCUAACAUUGUUAUUGCUAAGAAAGGUAAAAGAAGAAGAGCCUGUGCACUGGCUGCUGGAUCAAUCAAGGAACGGGAAGAAAAGCAGAGCUUUGCCUUAGCAGUCCCCGCCAUGUGUGGGGUACAAAGAAGGCAAAAAAGAGUACUCUGGUGAGAGAAGCACCUGUGAUGCAUUUGACAGAGCUCCAGAGCAGUCACAGCCAACACCUCCAUGGCCCUUUGGGCAAGCAGUUAGAACAAGUUAUAUCCUCGGACCAUUGGCUCUGGAAGGGAAGAUACUGCCAGUUACAAGCACAGCAAUGAGAUUACCUAGAAUCCCCAAAGAAACCAUCUUGGUGCAGAUUUCGACCUUUCUGUGCCUCAUCUUUUAUAAACAUAGUUGGGCUCAUCAGAUCCAUCUGCUGCUGUGGGUAGUCUUCUCCAGCACCAUGGUGAGAUGGAGUAUCAUCACUUCCAUGCUGAGAGGCCACAGAAUUAUUACAGCUAUCUUCUGAGUUCUCUUUACUACCAUCCAUGUUUUCUGGGGUAUUAGUGAUGGAAAAAGGGGAUGCUGAAUCUUCAUGGACAUGAUCAAAAAGAUCACCCCCUUUAUUUUCCUCAGAAUCUGAAACCUCAGAGACAGUGGUUGUGUUAACAUUUUGAUUGAUGUCAGUGAAGACUGGAUCUUCCAUGGCUGCUGGCUGGUGAGCUUUGCCUGUCUGCUGGUACCUUACAGACUACAAUUAAAGUGAGAUGUUGACAGACAAGGCUCCUCAAGAGGAAGCAGAG